GCCAGACUCCUACGGGAGGCAGCAGUGGGGAAUAUUGCGCAAUGGGGGCAACCCUGACGCAGCAACGCCGCGUGCGGGACGAAGGCCUUCGGGUUGUAAACCGCUUUCAGCAGGGAAGAACCAUGACGGUACCUGCAGAAGAAGCCCCGGCUAACUCCGUGCCAGCAGCCGCGGUAAUACGGAGGGUGCGAGCGUUAAUCGGAAUUACUGGGCGUAAAGCGCUCGUAGGCGGUAUGUCAAGUCAAGGGUGAAAUCCCCGCGCUCAACGUGGGAACUGCCUUUGAAACUGGCAAACUGGAGUGUGUGAGAGGAUAGUGGAAUUCCAGGUGUAGGAGUGAAAUCCGUAGAUAUCUGGAGGAACAUCAGUGGCGAAGGCGACUAUCUGGCACAUAACUGACGCUGAGGAGCGAAAGCGUGGGUAGCAAACAGGAUUAGAUACCCGAGUAA
rnacentral:rRNA from 1 species